rnacentral:rRNA from 1 species
CCCUUAGAUGUCCGGGGCUGCACGCGCGCUACACUGAUGUGUCCAGUAAGCACCUAACCUAUUCCGAGAGGAGCGGGUAACCUUAGCAAAGCACAUCGUGAUGGGGAUAGAUUAUUGCAAUUAUUAGUCUUGAACGAGGAAUUCCUAGUAAGCACAAGUCAUCAGCUUGUGUUGAUUACGUCCCUGCCCUUUGUACACACCGCCCGUCGCUCCUACCGAUUGAAUGUUCCGGUGAGCUCUUCGGACUGCGCGGUCUGCAGUUUCUGCGUUCCGUGCGGAAAGUUGUGCAAACCUUAACAUUUAGAGGAAGGAGAAGUCGUAACA